GGGUGGGCGUGCGUGUGUGGAGAGAGGGGAGGCGGGGAGGCCAGUCACUUCCGGAGCCGGUUCCGAUCCGCGCCGAGCGCCCUGCUUUCGCCGACGCGGACCUCGGGGUGCGGUUGUGCCCGGCUCCACGCGCGCGCGGGCGAUGCGGGGCCGGGGGACGUCCCUGGCGCGGGACUGGAGACUGAUGCAUGAGGGGCCCACGGAGGCGCAGGAGCGGUGGUGAUGGUGUGGGAAGCGGAGCUGAAGUGCGCUGGACUUUGGGGAGGACUGACAGUUUAUCCUGACUGUGUUCAGGCAGGAAAACGUGGAUGAUUACUAUGACACGGGCGAGGAACUUGGCAGGUUUCAGCACAUUCUGUAACUGAAGACUCUUUCUUCCAUUGGUCAAGGCUUGGAUAGCCUCAGCUGUCUAUCCCAGGCACUCCCUAGCCUUAUGGAACUAGAAUCACAAAGGUGAGAAUAAAUGAGGACCUUAAGAUCAGAGA